rnacentral:lncRNA from 1 species
CAGUUAACAUUGCUAGUGGUUCAGAACAUUAAACGCUGAUCCAGAGUGACUUGUAGGUGGUUUCACUGGGUGAUAUGUGUCACUGAGAGACUCUGUCUCUACGCAGAGGAAGAGGUGUUUUUCGCAAUUCGCUUACUUCAGCAGGGAGAAACAAUCCUGAAGAACCAUCUGGAAGAAUUUGUCAGAACAGGUCUUUGUCCAAAUACAUGCGGGGUCUUCAAUCAGAGUGUGAUCAACUGCGCCAGUUGCGGCAACGAGCUGCACCCCUGUGCGUCUCCGGUCGACCAACGUAGUUGUGGCGUGCUGCAACUUGAAGCGGAGCAGGACAGUCAGGUGGUGCUCAACUGUUUCCUGCCCUGGCACAGCCUGGUGGUUGAGGAAAAAGAGUACCACUUCUCCCGGGUGAGACACAGAUCCGGCAUUUCCUUGCCGCACGUAAGCGCUGUCGCGUUGAACGACUGA